AAAUAAAUACAAAUACAAUCUUUUUUUAAUUAAAGCUAUUUAUUAUUUGCAGGGCUGUAGCUCGCGGGGCCUCAUUGUUUGGGAAUGCUGCGUAACAAAAAGAAAGGCUGUGCACUGAGGAGCUUCUGCGAGAAAUCUCUUCAAAACCGAACCGAACCGAACCGAACCGAACCGAACCAAACCAAACCAAACCAAACCACACCACACCACACCAAACCAAACCAAUCCAAACCAACAACUUACUCUGCAGCCAGGAAUAGCCACUGCCAAAAAUUGACCUGGUACCUGGCAUCAUUCAACAGAACAAGCUAUGAAGGAAUAGUAAUCACCCAGACAUUGUGUGGGUUUGCUUUCCUUCUUCUCCUGGAGGAAUGGAGGGUGUUGUUGACAGCCAGCCUAGAGCCCUCCAGUCUGCCUUCUGCACCUCUCCCAUGCACUACAGGAGCACCAAAGGUGAUGCUUGUUGUGACUCACAGAACAGGAACCAGAAGCGUGCAAGCUGGUAAAUCCGCUUACUAA
ensembl:lncRNA